rnacentral:rRNA from 1 species
UACGAAGGGGCUAGCGUUGCUCGGAAUUACUGGGCGUAAAGGGCGCGUAGGCGGACAGUUUAGUCAGAGGUGAAAGCCCAGGGCUCAACCUUGGAAUAGCCUUUGAUACUGGCUGUCUUGAGUUCGGGAGAGGUGAGUGGAAUGCCGAGUGUAGAGGUGAAAUUCGUAGAUAUUCGGCGGAACACCAGUGGCGAAGGCGACUCACUGGCCCGAUACUGACGCUGAGGCGACGAAGCGUGGGGAGCGAACAGG